UACGUAGGGUGCGAGCGUUUAAUCGGAAUUACUGGGCGUAAAGCGUGCGCAGGCGGUUCGUUGUGUCGGCGGUGAAAGCCCCGGGCUUAACCUGGGAAUGGCCGUUGAAACUGGCGAACUGGAGUGUGGCAGAGGGGGGUGGAAUUCCACGUGUAGCAGUGAAAUGCGUAGAGAUGUGGAGGAAUACCGAUGGCGAAGGCAGCCCCCCUGGGCCAAUACUGACGCUCAUGCACGAAAGCGUGGGGAGCAAACAGG
rnacentral:rRNA from 1 species